GGAUUAGAAACCCGGGUAGUCCACGCCCUAAACGAUGGAUACUAGCCGUCGGAGGUAUCGACCCCUCCGGUGGCGCAGCUAACGCAUUAAGUAUCCCGCCUGGGGAGUACGGCCGCAAGGUUGAAACUCAAAUGAAUUGACGGGGACCCGCACAAGCGGUGGAGCAUGUGGAUUAAUUCGAUACUAACCGAAGAACCUUACCCACUCUUGACAUUGAAGGAAAGCUCUAGAGAUAGAGCCCUCUCUCACAAGGAGACCUGAAAACAGAUGUUGCAUGGCUGUCGUCAGCUCGUGCCGUGAGGUGUACGGUUAAGUCCGCCAACGAGCGCAACCCUCGUUCUGUGUUACCAGCACGUAAUGGUGGGCACUCACAGGAGACCGCCGGUGUAAGCCG
rnacentral:rRNA from 1 species